rnacentral:rRNA from 1 species
GAUGAACGCUGGCGGCGUGCCUAAUACAUGCAAGUCGAGCGAACGGACGAGAAGGUUGCUUCUCUGAUGUUAGCGGCGGACGGGUGAGUAAAACGUGGAGAACCUACCUAUAAGACUGGGAUAACUUCGGGAAACCGUAGCUAAUACCGGAUAAUAUUUUGAACCGCAUGGUUCAAAAGUGAAAGACGGUCUUGCUGUCACUUAUAGAUGGAUCCGCGCUGCAUUAGCUAGUUGGUAAGGUAACGGCUUACCAAGGCAACGAUGCAUAGCCGACCUGAGAGGGUGAUCGGCCACACUGGAACUGAGACACGGUCCAGACUCCUACGGGAGGCAGCAGUAGGGAAUCUUCCGCAAUGGGCGAAAGCCUGACGGAGCCACGCCGCGUGAGUGAUGAAGGUCUUCGGAUCGUAAAACUCUGUUAUUAGGGAAGAACAUAUGUGUAAGUAACUGUGCACAUCUUGACGGUACCUAAUCAGAAAGCCACGGCUAACUACGUG